rnacentral:misc_RNA from 1 species
GGAAGGAUCAUUUCCAAAAAAAAACAAAAAAAUAUAAACCAACCUUUGUGAAGAGUUGAUAUUCUUUUUUUUACUUUGGGUGUGGGGAAAAAGUAUAGUAUUUGGUGUUUGAAGAAAAUGCGAGAUCAAACUUAAAUGUUUUGACUAACAUCGAAAUCACAUUGAUUCUAUAUGUACAUAACCCCGUCCAAAGGCCAUGAUGAACUACCUCAUUGAGGUCGAUGUCCUAUUUAUAUUUUUUCAAUCAUACGAAAGUAUAUAACAAAUGACAUGACAACUUUUAACGGUGGAUCUCUUGGCUCGUGCAUCGAUGAAGAACGCAGCAAACUGCGAUACGUAAUGUGAAUUGCAGGAUUCAGUGAAUCAUCGAUCUUUGAACGCAAAUGGCACUGCAGGGUUCUCUCUGCAGUAUGUCUGUUUGAGUGUCAGAUCUUUUUCUCUCGAUUCUUUAUUAAAGGGGUAACAGCCUUUAAUAUUGUGAUUGGGGCUAGAUAUGAGGUGUUGACUUUUUGCUUGGAGAGAGUUGAGAAAAAGAGUUUGGUGAUUUAUCAUUAUUCUCUUCCUCUUCACUUGACAAAAUAAGAGACAUCCCUUUAAAUUUACCAAAUAUAAAAGGGCGGUUGGGGUUAUUUUCUUUGGUGAUCAUAACAUUAUUCCCAAUUUUUACACUAUAAUCAGGGAAGGCAACUGGUGCAUAUAUUUAUGGUUUAAAAGAGUGGUUUACUCCUAUCUUUUCUAACAUUUUUAUAUAUACUGGGAAGCUUACUUUUGGUGUGGUAGAAUAUACCAACGUCAGAGUUUGCUGCAGCCAUUAUAUCUUGAAUAAUAAGGUAAAAAGGGUUUCAAUGGAUUGCCGUACAAAGUCAGUAGUCUCAUUACAAAAAACCGUAAUUUUCUAUCACUUAUGACCUCAAAUCAGGCAAGAUUACCCGCUGAACUUAAGCAUAUUAAUAAGCGGAGGAAAAGAAACUAACAAGGAUUCCCUCAGUAACGGCGAGUGAAGCGGGAAUAGCUCAAAUUUGAAAUCUUUGAGGGGCAACCUCAACGAAUUGUAGUUUAGAGAAAUGCUUUCUGGGGUGGGACGCCGUCCAAGUUCUUUGGAACGAGACAUCAGAGAGGGUGAGAAUCCCGUAUCUGGCGGCGAGUCUCCCAUUCCUAUACGGGGCGUUUUCGAAGAGUCGGGUUGUUUGGGAAUGCAGCCCAAAAUGGGUGGUAAAUUUCAUCUAAAGCUAAAUACAGGCACGAGACCGAUAGCGAACAAGUACCGUGAGGGAAAGAUGAAAAGCACUUUGAAAAGAGAGUUAAAUAGCACGUGAAGCCGUUAAAAUGGAAAACGAUUGAAGUCAGCAGUGCUUGUCCAGCAAUCAAUCCAGAGCCCCUUUGGUGCGGUGGCUUUCCUACAUUGGAGGUUGUUGCAGUUUAGGGGGGUUACGGGUGCACUUGUUGGAAGGAGCAGGUCAGCAUCGGUUUGGCUGCAGCGGGGCAAGGUGAGGAGGAAGGUAACCCUUGACUGGGCGUUUAAGCCUCUUUACUGAGACGCUAGCUAGACCGAGGAAACUACACAGUACAGGCCAAUUAACUUUGGCUAAGAGGGCUCAUCAGCAUGGUGUUUCCAGACGGCCGGAUUACUGUUUCACGACAUGUGGUUCGGUGCUGGGGGUGCUAGAGUUGGUGGUCAUUCAUACCUUGUACUGCGGAUGCUGACGAAAUGGCUUUAACCGACCCGUCUUGAAACACGGACCAAGGAGUCUAACAUAUGCGCAAGUCUUAGGGUGGCAAACCCGGGAGGCGAAAUGAAAGUAAAGGCAGUCUUGGGCUGCUGAGGUGAGAGCCUGUCACAGGGCGCAUCACCGACCGAUCUGGAUUUUUUUGAAAGAUUUGAGUAAGAGCGUAUCUGUUGGGACCCGAAAGAUGGUGAACUAUGCCUGAAUAGGGUGAAGCCAGAGGAAACUCUGGUGGAGGCUCGUAGCGGUUCUGACGUGCAAAUCGAUCGUCAAAUUUGGGUAUAGGGGCGAAAGACUAAUCGAACCAUCUAGUAGCUGGUUCCCAC